CGCGCUCCUGCCCCAGGUCUCAGCCCGGAGCGCGCCUCCUGCAGGACAGCCGCCUCCUCCCCGAGGAGCCAGCCGGGGGCCUGCACAGCCGGGCCUGCACAGCCGCGCCUGCGUUCCGGGACGGGGCGCGCAACUUGGGGCACACCCGAUCUCUUGAGGCUAAUUCCCAGCCACUGGAACGCUGGCGAAUGAAAAGGUAUGUGCUGUUGCUAGAUGCAGGACUCUAGACACAGAUCUGAUGGUCCAGGGCAGGGUACCCAUGCUUCCUAUGGGUGAAGAAGACAGUGAUUCCAGGACCUGGCUGUGGAGCAUCCCGGGCCUUCCCAGAGUCCUCUUGGGAGGUCCUUCCACGACAUGGAUGUGAGAGUCUGCUCCCUUGGCUACAACUGUUAGGUGCUCAGGUACCAGAUGAACAAGUACCAGGUCUUGAGCUGAGACCCAGUCUCUCCUGACUGCCUGGGCAGUGAUGUCCUUUGGGCCCUUUGUGUGGGCAUUCAAAUGGCUAGAGCAACCAACUGUUACAGACCAGCAACAAGAGGACCCUUCCUGUUCAUACAGGAAAAGCCACAUGGUUCUGAAUUGAAAGGCUAAAGAGAAAACUCACCACUACAUGCCAAGAAUAGUUAUCAAAAGAGAGAGAGAAAGAGAGAGAGAGAGAGAGCAAAAAAACAAAAAACAACCCCAAACUGGUAUUCUUUCACAGAGUGAUUAGAUGAAAUCUUCCCAGAAAUCUAGGCUGAAAGAACUCAAUCUAGAUUUGGAUUAGAAGAGGAAGAGAGUCCCCGGAAAUAGGCAGGCUAGCCAGUAAUCAGGUGGGCCCACAGGAAUCUCAGGCCCUACAUGUGGGUUCAAGCAAUGGCUUGUGAGUGCCAGACUGAGGGGCUUUCCUCAGGUGUGUGGCCAUGUAGAUAAGACUCAGUCUGCAAAGACACCUUGACCUACAAACACCUAUCUAUAUAGAGUUGGUUCCUCUAGCACUCCAGGCACCUGAGUCCAGGGUCUAGAGUCUGCCAGAGCAUUGAGGAAGACAGGCCUGGAGGUGGGGAUGACCAGAAGGGUUUGGACGCUGACCUGAGGGUAAGGAAAUGGCGACCUCCUUCCUUCUGGAGCUUUACACACUACAUAACAUUCAGUCUUACACAUUUAUGAGAUGUAAUGUUUUCCUCCUUUUCCUGAGGUACAGAGGAAAGUAGCUUCCUCAAGGCUACAGCUAUGAAAUAGUGGAGCCCAAAUUUGAAUUAAGUGUUUCCAACCUUCCAACCCAUCCUUUAACCACCAUAUUAUCCCAAAGAGGAGAAAAUGGCUUAUGUGAAGGAAUUUCGCAUGAGAGCAGGGUGAAAUACAGUCCCAAAACGAUGCUCACUGAGUGAAGGCUAUAGAAAACACUUUCCUGGGCAAUAUUACAGGUUGCUUUUAAGUGAAAACAGGGAGAAACUGAGACAAUUAACUUGAGUUUAGAGCUUCACAGGUGUGGCUGUCAGAAAGAAAUCCAGAGGCCUGUCCGUAAGGUGGAACCUCUGUGCUAUCUCAGUUCAUGAAGAGAAAAGUCUAGUGCCGAAAGCCAGUAGCUUCUGUGGCAGACAAAUCAGGGGCACAUAGGUGGGGAAGAUGGUGGGUUCGCUAGCACUGGAUCGCCAAGGCUGCAGUUUUUUUUUUAAGGCAGUUACAUUACCAGGAAGAUCCACUAUGGUAGAAGGAAAGGAGUGGGCAUUUGGCCAGAAUGUUCUCAUUCUGGGUGAAUGGUGCAUCCCUUAUGAAAAAGCAGGGUUGAGCACCCACCUGCUAUUUUUAUUCUGUUGGCGGUGAAAUCCCAACUCCUAUGAACACAUGCAUGGCCCGAGGCAACACAGUGCUGUUACACUGUGCCUAAUUCAUUAUUUUUCUUGUUUUCAGUAAGGAUAUUUGAAGAUGGUCAAGAGGUUAGUGGGCUCUAAAUGGAGUGAAACAGAGCAUUAGCAACUAACUAAGAAAAGAAAAUUCCAAAAUAGCAGCUUUGUGAGCUGAGGCUGGAAAUUUAAGCUCACUUUUUGGGUGAUCACCCCCCACUAACUUUAACACUUGAUGACCUCUGGUUUCACAUCAGUGUUUCAGGCAAAUGGUGUUGCCAUCCUCUCCGAUAUGAAAAUCAGUGGGGUAUUGGGUACUGAACUUGAGCUGCUUUGAAGACUAAGACUGACUACACUUGCUUUGCUUUCUUGGUGAUGCCCUGCUUUAGAUAGUGGAUGGCAGCUUUGGCCAGCAUGGAUCCACCUAUGCAGAUCCACUGGUGGAGACAGUUCCCAUCAGUUUACAAAGUCUGAGUUUGAUAUAAGGGGCUGCAUACAGGACAGCACUGCACAAGAAUAAGCAUCUGUGCCAGGUAUGGCAAAUAUUCCACUGAGGACAUAGUCUUACUCUCAUCUAAAACUGUGAAGUAUUCUUGCCCGCAGCAUGGUAUAAGGGCUAAAGCAGGGAUAGAGAAAGCCCCUGAGAAGCAACCGGGAUGAGACGAUGACAAAUCAGAAGGGCUGCUGGCAAGGGGAAGGCUGUUAGCAGGAGAUGAUGAGACUAUAAAUGGUGUGGAUAAGAUGCGUAUAGACUUGUUCGCCAGUUCCUGAAAUAUAUCACUGUCUGAGAACUGUGAGGCAAGUCCAGGACAAGUCAGUGGAAACACUAUUUCAUGCAGCAGGUAAUGAACUGAUGGAAUGAAUUCUCUCCCAGAGGUGGCACAACUGGCAAUGGAAAUGGACUCCAGAGGGCUUGAAUGAAUGUGUAAAUGGCAGGACCGUAACAAAGAGCUGCAGGAAACGAGGAAUAUUCCAUAUGGUUAGGGGUCUAGGGUGACUCCAGGGAUCCUUACAUAGUGUGUACCUCAAGGUUUGUGUGGAUGACAGAAUCCUGGCCUUCCUGGCUGGAAGAGGUCUUCUGACUAAGAAAUGGUAGAAAUGAGACUGGGCCACAUGUUGCCAACACACACACUCCUGCACAGGCAAAGCUUUACAGGGUGAAGGGGCUUCAGCCAAAUAGGGGCUUUGGUUGAGGAAGACAGCCAUUAGUCUACAGAGUGAUCAAGCUGCUGCUCCCAGAACAAAUAGAGCAGCAGGUUUUUAUUGAUUUUCUUCAGGAUGAGGUAAGAUCUAAUCAUUUUCAUUAGCCGGGGGCUUGGUUUCAAAAUAUAUUUCUUUUUGUGGCAGACUUGGGCCACCUGGCAGUCAUGGUCAACUCAGAUUUCCUUGUGUUUGGCACCAUCAGCCUAUGCAGACAUCCAAGCCUUGUGUUUGGUGGGCUAACAGGUGGUCAGAUUGGCUCAGGAACUACUGAGUUACCUCUUACAGGUGGUGGCAUGAUCCUGCGUAAAUGUCUUGGUCUUACGAUAG
rnacentral:lncRNA from 1 species